UGCGUAGGCGGAUUAAUAAGUCAGUGGUGAAAACCUGCAGCUUAACUGUAGAACUGCCAUUGAUACUGCUAGUCUUGAGUACGGUCAAGGUAGGCGGAAUGUGUAAUGUAGCGGUGAAAUGCUUAGAUAUUACACAGAACACCGAUUGCGAAGGCAGCUUACUGGGCCAUUACUGACGCUGAGGCACGAAAGCGUGGGUAGCGAACAGGAUUAGAUACCCUGGUAGUCC
rnacentral:rRNA from 1 species